rnacentral:rRNA from 1 species
GGGGAAGUUGAAAAGUACUUUGAAGAGAGAGUAAACAGUGCGUGAAACCGCUCAGAGGUAAACGGGUGGAGUUGAACUGCAAGCUUUGAGAAUUCAGCUGGUGAGUGUGGUUUGAGCUUGGUCAAGUCGGUUGGACAUUGAGGUCUGUGUAGCAGCAGGUCUCUGCCUUCGGGUAGGGAUGCGCGAUACACUUAUCAAGUGUUGUGCGCCUCUUUGUUUAUCGGGCCAAUUUGCCAGUGCACUUUCUCAGAGUGUUCACCACGACCGGCACUGCUGUCUGACUACUGUGGUUAAACCGGACUUACAGAGCACUUGUGGCUUUGUAUGGCCGGGAAGGCAGGUAGCUCGUUGGCUAGCUUGUGGUUCGCUGCAAGCGUUUGGUUUUCGAGUGUAAUUAGCUGACCACGAUUGUUCUGUGCAGUGUGUCGGAGACGGCGGCUUGUGGUACGUGCGUGCGUGCCGGUUCUGCUGGCGUGUUCGAGUUUGGUUGCCAUGUUGCUUGUGAAUGCAGGCCUGGUGAUAGCUCGGAUUCGUUCAGUGGGCGGUUGCGUGUGUGGUACCGUUAAGGGCCAACAGUCUGUGGUGUAGUGGUAGACUAUCCGCCUGACCCGUCUGAAAACACGGAC